CCCGAAAUGCGUUGAGGCGCAGCAGUUGACAGGACAUCUAGGGGUAAAGCACUAUUUCGGUGCGGGCUGUGCGAGCGGUACCAAAUUGAGGCAAACCCUGAAUACUAGAUAUGACCCAAAAAUAACAGGGGUCAAGGUCGGCCAGUGAGACGAUGGGGGAUAAGCUUCAUCGUCGAGAGGGAAACAACCCAGAUCACCAGCUAAGGCCCCUAAAUGACCCCUCAGUGAUAAAGGAGGUGGUGGUGCAAAGACAGCCAGGAGGUUUGCCUAGAAGUAGCCACCCUUUAAAGAGUGUGUAAUAGCUCACUGAUCGAGCGCCCUUGCGCUGAAGAUGAAUGGGGCUAAGCGAUCUGCCGAAGCUGUGGGAUGUCAAAACGCAUCAGUAGGG
rnacentral:rRNA from 1 species